rnacentral:rRNA from 1 species
UCCGUAGGCGGGCAGCUAAGUCAGUGGUGAAAGUCUGCAGCUCAACUGUAGAAUUGCCAUUGAUACUGGUUGUCUUGAAUUAUUAUGAAGUGGUUAGAAUAUGUAGUAUAGCGGUGAAAUGCAUAGAUAUUACAUAGAAUACCAAUUGCGAAGGCAGAUCACUAAUAAUAUAUUGACGCUGAUGGACGAAAGCGUGGGGAGCGAACAGGAUUAGAUACCCUGGUAGUCC